GUUGUGAAUUUAAGAACAUUAAAAAAAUAAUUAUACAGCUCAAUCAAAUUGUUGUACAACAACUAAAAUACAACAACUCAAUCUACCAUCAAAAUACAUCAAUUCCUCUAAAUCAACAAUCAAAAUACACCAAAAAUAUUAUUCAAAUCAAUUCAAUCUACAAUUAAAAUACAACAAUUCCUCCGAAUCAACAAUCUCAACAUUCAAUCUCCGAACAAUCUCAACAGAUCUUAGAACGAAAAUCAUUCACACAAUCUCCACACAAUCUCCAUAAAUCUCCAUAAAUAAAAGCUCAAUCAUCAACUCAUGAUCUCCAUCCUCUAAACGAAGCCAUACACAGACAUGACAAAAUCAAUAAUCACAAUUCAGACUUCUGCAAAUUAGCAUCAAAAUCCCAUCAUAGCAGAAUUUCUGCAGAAUUCCAGACUUGGAAUCCAAUUCCUACGGACACAAAUAGUAGAAACCUUCUUAAGGUUUGCUCUCUUCACCACUGUUACAGAUCUUGAUCUGUUGAAACAUUCCUAACAUUAAAUCAAGAAGCCAUUUUUCGCAUAACCAAAUGUCACCAACACAGCAACAUCAACACAUCACUAUUAUCUUCGCUACAACUAUAGAGAUACAUCAUCUUGCAUAAUAUGUUUGCUUUCUGCAUUUCUAAUAAUGUUAUUAAAGAACUGAAAAAAAACACAAACUUGGGGCUGUGUGUGUGCGCGUGAGUCUGGGGAGGGGGAGGGCUCCGGCUGGUUUUAUGAGGGCGGCAUAAGGAGGGGGAGGACCGGCGGCGGCGGUGGAGGCGGCCUGUGACUCCUGCUGUCCGUCGGUCAAGAGAGAAAGAGAUGGGUGGUGCUACUGUCGUUCGGAGAGGAGUCAGCAGAGCUGCUGCUGCUGUUGACGGCGGCGGUCCGGUUGGCUGUGGCUGCCGUUCAAAGAAUCAGAGGAGGAGGGAGGCGGCGAUGGCGGCGGUCCGGCUGACUGCUGCUGUCGGCUGGAGCAGAGGGGGGGGCGAGAUUGGUAAGAGAGGCCAUUUUUUCCGGCGAUGGACUGCUCGGCCUCAAGCGACCCAGAAUCGCGGUGGUGGCAGCCUUGUAACCGCUGCUCGCCGAGAAUCAGAGGGCGGCGACGGGGCGGCAGAGAGCUGAGAGAGAAGAGAGUGAAGAGAGAGAUGAAAGAGAGAGAGAGAGAGAGAAUUCGCAGAUGAGAGAGAGAGAGAGAAAGAGAGAGAGAGGAGAAGAAGGAGGAGAGAAAUAGAUAUUUUUAAAGGAGGGUAUUUCUGUCUUUUCAAUCAAAAAGUGGACAGUUUUUAUUAUUUUUAUCUUAGUGGACAAUUUUUAUCUUUACAAUAUGAAAGUGGAUAGUUUUAUAUAUUUACUCUAAAUAUUAGACUAACUACGUCACGAAAAAAACACAAUAGAAAAUAAUNUGCCGCAGUUGAAGCAAUCUCCUUUGAUCCUCUUCUGACCUUUUGAGUCUGGAUUUUUGCCUUUGAACUUGCGUUUCUUCUUGUUGCUAGACUCGGCUAGAUUUGCUUUUGCCUCCAUGGAAGUUUUGUUCGUCUUGUUUUCGGAGAUUCUAUGGUCCUCUUCGAUUCUCAAGCGAACGAUCAAGUCUUCAAGUCCCAUCUCCUUGCGUUUGUGCUUGAGAUAGUUCUUGAAGUCCUUCCAAUGUGGUGGUAAUUUCUCUAUCACCGCGGCCACCUGAAAAGAUUCAGACAAUUCCAUACCUUCGGCAAGAAUGUCGUGCAAGAUCAGUUGAAAUUCUUGCACUUGCUCCACAACGGUUUUGCUGUCAACCAUUUUGAAGUCUAGAAAACGUCCGACUAUAAAUUUCUUUAAGCCGGCAUCUUCUGCCUUGUACUUCGUCUCCAAAGAGUCCCAUAGUUCCUUGGACGUCUUGGCGCUAGAGUAGACAUUAUAGAGAGUGUUGUCUAGCCCAUUCAGUAUAUAGUUACGACAUAGAAAGUCACUAUGAUGCCAUGCAUCAUAUGCGAUCCGCAAUUGUGAAUCAGUAUCGUCUUCCCCCACAGUUGGAGGAGAUUCAUUCAUAAACCGAGCCAUAUUUAAAGUAGUAAGAUAAAACAACAUCUUAGAUUGCCAACGUUUAACUCAGACCUGCGAAUUUUUCCGGCUUUUCGGCAGCAGCAGGUGCUGGAGCAUGUGGAACGUUGGUCGGAACUAGUGGAGCAUUUUGUUGGGUGGUGUCGUCAUAUUAUAUAUAUAUAUAUAUAUAUAUAUAUAGAGAUGUUAUUGACGGGUGUAGAAAUGUGGACAGAAUAACGACGUGAAUGUAGGAACCGAGGCAAGAGUUGGACUCUUUCUCCGUAAGACAAAAUUGCCCCGCACAGUACACACGGUUCGAUGGCAAAUGUCCCCAAGAUACAACGGUUUGAAUGAGUACGAGACCUUGUACUAGGAACUCGAACUUCCAGCGAACUACAGAAUACUCGGGACUUGAGUAUGAACUAGAAGAGAGAAUGAGUAAAAUAAUUAUCUGAGUUAAUUUUCGGUGUGUCUAAUCUCAUUCUGCAGGGCUUAUCAAAGGGGUGCGAGCCAACCACCCACACCUCACCAGCCUGAUCCAACCGCUGCCACGUCAGCAACCUCAUCCACCCGGAUUCCUUAUCCGCCACGCGGUGCCACGUCACCGAGCUGCAUGUUCCACGUCACUGCCACGUCACACGAGCCACCGUUUAGUUUGUCAAAACUAAAGGCUCCUCAAAGCUCCUCGCGACGAUGCGAACAUGCGCCUACAAAGCGCCCAUUGCGACAAGUGCGACGUGCACGUGCUCGGCCUCGGCCUCGGACUUGGAAGGUGCUUCGCACCUUCCUCGUAGGAAUUUGAGUUUUAGCCUUAAAAGGUUAAGUCAAAACCCACUUGGGUGCACCAUAGAGAAGCACACUUGAUUGUUUCUUUAUGGUGGAGAGCACUUUAUAAAUAGCUUUCAACUUCCUCAUUUUUCCAAUGUGGGAUGACACUCCACAUUCCAUUUUCAAUGGCUAUCUUUUGGCAUUUAAUUACUCAUUCAAUUCUUAAUAGAUUUGAACAAGUAAAUAUACCAAAUUAAUCUACUCAAAAUGUAGAUUCCAAAUAUGCCAUUUAAUCCCAUUAAUUACAAAGUAAUUAUGGACUAAUUAAGCCAUUUAUUCCAACAAAAAUAGGUACACGUAGGAUCCGCGUAAAAAAUAAUUGAUCGAAAAUUGUCUUUGGAGGAUCCCAAGUGAUUAUUUAAUUUAUAGAUCGUCAGACAUAAUUUAAAAGUCAUGAGAAAAAACCAAAAGUAUAAAAGUGUAUGAAUUUUUCGGCAAUAUACACUUAUAUAAAAUGACUUGUAAUCUAUACUACUCCAUUCGUCCCACGAAGCAUGAUCCAGUUUUUUUUUUUUUUUGGUUUCUCCCACGAAACUUGACAUGUUUCUAAAAAUGGCAAAAAAUUUACCUUUUAUUCACCUUUUCACUUUUUCACCUACCACACUUAACACAAAAAAUAUCAAUUUCUUAAUUCCCGUGACGAAAAGAAUUGAGUCAUGCUUCAUGGGACGGAGCUGUAUACGAACCGAGCCGAGCCGAAUACCUCCAGGCUCAGGCUCGGGCUCGGUUCGUGAAGAUUUGGUUCGGCUCGAGCUCGAAUUCGAGCCUAAAAAUGAGCUCGAGCUCGGCUCGCUUAUAUAAUACCAAGCUCAAGUUUGGUUCGAAUUCGGCCCGUUAAUUAUUCGUUUAUCUCGAGCUCGGCUCGAAUUCGAGCUCGAUUCGAAUUAUUUAUAUAUUAAGGUUUCAUUAAAAUAAAAAAAUUAUAUUUGUUCAUAUAUUACUAGACUAUUUAUGAAUCAUAAUUUAUAAUUUAUUUUUAACAAAUAGAUAAUUUAUCAAGUUAGUAGUAAUUUUUUAAAAUUAUGAGCAUUAUUUUUAUUAUUUAAAAAAUAUUUAACAAAUAAAAUAUAUAAAAUUAUUAUUUAAUGAACCUAUUCGCGAACAUAUUCGUGAACCUAUUCGUGAGCUAUUCGGAAACAUAUUCGCGAGCCUAUUCGCGAAUAGACUCGCGAAUAGGUUCGAACCGAACAUGUUCGCGAGCUCACGAGCCGAACAUGCACAGGCUCGAGUUCGGCUCGAUAAUUUUAUCGAGCUCGGAUUCGGGCUCGAGUUAAGUUCGUUUAGAAAAUGAACGAAUUUUGAGCGAGCUUUUUUCGAGCCGAGCCCCGAAUAGUUCGCGAGCGGCUUGGUUCGUUUACACCCCUAGGAGGGAGUAAUAGAAAAAGAGCCUAAGGCAAUCUAAGGCACUUUGUGGAUUGCCUAUUUUACACUUGUUAUAUAUUUAUUUUUAUAUUUAUAAAAUAUAAAUCUAUUUUGAUAUAUAUUUAUUUGUCACCCAAAUCUAUAAAGAAUACUUUAUAUCUGUAGCUAUUAUUUGAUAAGACUUAUAAAUAAAUAUAUCCAUCCAAUAAAUUAUCUAAUAAAAUUAAUGAAUUAAUAAUUUUUUUUAAAUAAUAGAUUAUUAAUUAAAAUAACAAUAAUUACACGUACAACAUACGUUUUUUAUGCUAGUAUCAAUAAAAGCAACUUCUUACUCACACACAAACAUAAAAAGUUAAAUAUCCACUUUUAAAAAUAUGACAAUACUAUACAGUAGUACAUCUUAAUCAAGACAAGUAAAUUACUACUCCCUCCGUCCCGGUCCGAUAGUCCCAUUUUAUUUGGGAACGGAUAUUAAGAAACUUAUUUUUUGAGUGUAAAAAUGAGUAAAGGUGUGUAGGACCACAUUAUUUGUAGUGUAAAAUCAUUACCAAAAAUAGAAAUGAGACUAUUGGAGUGGGACGUCCCGAAAAGGAAAAUGGGACUAUUGAAGUGGGACGGAGAGACUAUUAUUUUUGUUACCAACUUUGUCACUUAUAGUAGAAAAGACAGAAAAUCAAAGCGAAGACGUGACUCGUGAGUGGGAUAGAACAAUUGAUAAUAAAAUCUAAUUUGUUAUUUCAAUUUGAAUUCAUAAUUUUUUUUCUCACAUAAACAUGAAGUGCAUGUUUCUUUAAAAAAAAAGAAAAAAGAAAAGAAGCGAAAAUGUAAAAACGAUAACUCAAAAACAAUUCCUCUACAUUGAAGCUACAACCACAACAACAAAUACUGGAAUAUUCCUAAGGGAUUUUCACAGAUUAAUGAACAAACUAAUAACUCAACUGAUCUUAUGUCACACGACAACCACCAAAGGAAAUAAACGAGGUAUCGGGAAAAUGGAUUCAAAAGCUGUCUAAGUAUACCUGCAUAAGUGAAUCUUCAAUUCCGUGACUCCACCCUUUUACGAUCUACUACUAGCUAGUACAACAAACACUGAGAGGUUCUGCUUUCUCGUACUCACAACUUUGUCUUUCUAGUAGAUGAGAGGAUUCUAAUGAUCACAGCAUCUUUGAUUUUGGUACUCGGUUUACAUGGAAUUGCUCACAUCAAUUCAGACCCCAAAGAUUAUCCUGUGCUAGAAGAGGCUGCUAACUCAAUGUAGCUGAUAAUUGUAACAGGACGUUAUCUCCUCAAAGGUUGAAAUAGUUUUCUUUACAUCGUCUCCAAAAUGCCUCGUUCAUUGGUACUAUUGCUACAUAGCAACCCACAGGCCAUAUUAUCCAUUGCUUUUAUGUUGCUGCUCUCCAACCCGCUUUUAGACCAAGCAACGCUACUUAUAUCAGCCGCCAAUGCAGCUAAUUCAUGGCUUGUGAAGGAUGGAGGUUCCACAUGGUCCAUAAAUUCCGGGCCGAGCAAAGAGUUUACUGCUGCCAUCCCAUUAGAUGUUUCACAGCAACCAUGGCCACAUUGCUGAGGGACCAUUAGAGUUAGUUCACUCCCGCCUCCUUCAAGCAAUUUUGACGUCCCAGCGUCUGAAUUUGAAACUGGGAGAGACGGGAAGGAAGCCACCCUAGGAGAUGGACAUACAGUCUCUGUUCCAUCAAUUGGAUUAUAAACAGUAAAUGACACUAAUGCGUGCAACAGGACGGCAUACAGCCAGAGGGCCUGUUGAUUUCUCAAUAUAUUGAACUCCCAAUUGAGCCUUCUCUAAAAGGUUGCUAUCAUCCACGCGUUCUAGGGAGCUUACAUCUUUCCCUUCACUUGAUUUAACUGAGUAUGCAUCUCCAUACGAUGGUGUUUCUUCUGAAGAUGCCUUUGACUUCUCAGCACUUGUAUCUUCCACCAGGGUGCCAGGUUCCAACUUAGACUUCCCAAGCUCCAAGCAACGACGCCUCAAUGUGGAAUUCCAGUGAUUCUUAAUAGCGUUAUCUGUUCUUCCUGGCAAUAGCCUUGCUAUUGAAGCCCAUUUAUUUCCAUGGAUGGAAUGAGCUUGGAGUAUGAUUCGGUCUUCUUCAUCUGCAAGAAGUUGAGCCCACAUAAGUCAUUAAAAAAUGCGCACACAUUUCUAUUUCUAGCACUCCAAGAUGAACAACGAAUUGGAGACAAGUAGCGCCAAUGUUUCCAAGACACAAGACGGCAUUUGAAACCAAUGCUUCCGUUUUCUACUUAGAAAAUGUAGAUUAAGCAAUGUGACACUCAUUCACACCACAUUACCAUAAUUACAUUGUCUGAGAAUUGUAAUACAGAUGGGAAACAUGAGCUUGCAACUGUCAUUGUUUAAAAUAGAUGAUCACGCAACAGACAAAUCAAAUUCAAUCGGCUGCAAUCUCCCACGACAUUGUGAGCUCAUAGAGAAUAAUUUGACCUAAUUGCAGUUUCUAAUUCCAAUUUCAAGCUUCAAUUGAUUCAAGGCCAAAAUGACAUUGUCGAAAACUACAGGUUGAAUAAAGGUAGCAACUCCAAACAAGAUGAAUUUUCUUAUCCUAACCCUAAAAAUUUAAAACUUAAUAAAUCAAUUACCUGUAAAGGGCUUGCGUUUAACGGCAGGAUCGAGCUGAUUGCACCAACGGAGGCGGCAAGAUUUUCCCGAUCUGCCGGGAAUUCCACGGGCGAUGAGGCUCCAAUUCCUCGCCCCAAAGUUGCCAACGAGUUGACUCAGCAUCGCGUCCUCAUCUGGCGACCACGGCCCUUUAACUCGGUCCAGCGAUUUCUUGCUCUCUCCACCUCCGUCCUCGAGCAUUACCAAGUUCUCGUCCUCGCCAACGCCACCGGCCACCAUCUCCACCUCGCCGCCGCCGCCGCACACUUCUGCCGCUGCUUGAGUAUCGAUCUCCAUUGAAGUAACCGAAAUUCUUUUUAAUUUAGUUAAAUUAAUUGACGCACUGUUUGACCAAAGAUGAAACUGGUGAAAAUCUGAAGGAAUUCGCAGGGCACUGCAGGGAAGAGAACAGAAUUGUCUACGGUGAUUUUUAUUUCCCUCCUGUUUGAAACGUUAUACUCCCUCCGUCCCAUUAAAGUUGGCAACAUUUCUAUUUUGGGUGUCCCACUAAAGUUGGCCACUUUCUAAAAAUGGUAAAAGUUUACUUUAAUUAAGUCAACAAUUACUCACUAAUUUGGUCAACAAUUGUAGGCCACUUUCUAAAAAUGUCAAAAUUAUUUUAAUUAAAUCAACAAUUACUCACUAAUUUGGUCAACAAUUGUAGGCCACACUCUAUUAAAAUAUAUAACACUCAAUUUCUUAAUCUCCGUGCCGAAACGAAUGUUACCAACUUUAGCGGGACGGAGAGAGUAAUAACCAACGACUAUUGUAGAAGUGGGACCAGAUUUAGCAAUUUGGCCCACGUUUAGUUCCAUUUGAGAUUGGACAUAAAUUUUAAUAAAGUUAUUAGUUGUUGUAAUUAAAAAAAAAAAGUAGAAUUUAUAGAGGUCGUGUUAGUACAAAAAAAUAUAGAAUAAAAUGUAUAUUAUUAGUUAAAAAAUAGAAUAAAACUAUAAUUUAUAGUUAAGUAUAUAAGAAAAUAUAGGAUGUCAUGGUUCAAAAAGUGAAAUAUGACUCUUUUUCAUAAAUAAAUAAAAAAAGAGUGAAUAUAACUCUUUUUUUAUGGACGGAGGGAGUAUUUCACUUCAUUUUUACAGGUAAUACAAAAAUUCCACCAUAGUCCGGUGGUUCGGUCUUGGCUCGCACCAGGCACAAUUCGGUUAGGUUCGUACGUGGAUGCAUCACGUGGCAGUGCGCAGAAACGUGGUGCAUGGUGCAGAUGUAACAGCGGUUGCGCCACAUGGUGCAUAAGUGGUGGCGGUUGAUGUGCGAGUAGCACUCGCCUGACCCACACACAGUCAGAGGUUGCACUGUUUGGGUCCAACUGCUCAAAUCUGUUCGGGCCCAAUCACUUGCACUUCAAGUCUGGCCAUUCCCACCUAUAAAUAGAAGGCCUCAGAAUGUAUAUUUCAUCAAUUCGAACAUCAAGUUCUGUUGGGUUAUGGAAUAUCUUUGGAAGACGGGGAUUUGAUUAAGAUUUGAUUUGAUUGAUUUGAUGUGAUCUGACCCUGAAUCUUUACCAAAAAUAUUUCCAACUUUUUGCCUAGUGGUCAAACUCCUGAGAAUAUCAUGACAUGAUAUAUCUCACCUUUUGAGCUUCCGUCCCCUCAGUGACGGCGGACGUGAAUUUUCUUCAAAAACAUUUUUAGCACAAUUUUCAAAACUUCAUCUUCUCACUUGGUAUUGUGUUUAUUUAUACCUUGGGGUCUUCGAUAGUUUUCUGCAUCAACUAACAACUCUCCACAGCCUUCACUGUGAGAAAAUUUCAAAUUCUUUCAAAAUUGCAGAGAAAAUUUCUGUUCCGACUUAGGAGAAUUCGAUGACUGCAAAGUCAUGGAGUGGAAGAAUGACGCUCACAUACUUGGUCUUCACCGGACCCUUCCACUGGAACUCAAUGUCCCUCCGACGUCAAAGCUUGCGCUGUUCUCACUUGUAUCCAUCGACGCGAGCGUCUUCCAUCCUCAUGCCCGGACCAUACGGCUUAAGUACCUGUCUCAAGAAGACGGUCUUCACCUGUUCUCAGGCAAGCUUUGCACCUUUUGUAAAGCUUCCGUGUGGUGCAACAACAAUGAGCAGGAGCUCGUUGUCAGCCGGCGCAACAUCGACAGUGCUAGUCCUCACGACUACCACUGAUUCGAUUUUUCAUCCUCACCUUCUCUUUCCUCCAUGUAUGACGAGGCGCAUUUUGAUCUAAUUCUUCAUCAAAGCCUCGCCAUGCAUUUCUUCUUUCUCCUCCCCCUUCUCCACUCUUUUCCCACCCUUCCUCUCUGUCUCCUCGCCCUCGGAUUAUGUUAGCUGCAUCUCAUGAUUAUCUCUAAGAUGCUAUACAUACUUUCCCUUCUUCACUUUGCUUUUCUCCAUCUCUAUAUCUCUUCACUUCUCGUCUCCCUUCUAUCUCUCACCUCUCCACUGGCGUCCUCUCCUUCUGCAUCUGGACCAUCCCUUCUCAAGUUCUCCCACAGUGCUUGAGAGUCGGAGUUGAAGUCCAUGAUCAUAGCUCCAUCAUAACUCUCUUUUAUGUUGCUAAAAAGGGGGAAAGUGGAAGUCAGAGAAAAUUUCUGAAAGGUUUUUCCUGAUCUUCUUUUUGCUGAAGAUGGACAGCAAAGAUCACCAGAAGUUGUAAGGAUGACGUUCCAGUAAGACCUCAAGUUGAAGGAAAACAAGUGGGAAUAGAACAAGCUUAGGAACAUGAAGACUGAAGACAGAAGAUGAAGAUCAAGAAGUUCAAGGCGCAGCCAAGCAGACUGCUGGAGUCCAUGGGUUUCCCAUGAGUUUUUGUAUUUAUUUUUGUUACUCCAAUGUAAGUUUGCUCUGUACCUCGACUGAUGUCUCAUCAGUCAGUUUAUUGAAAUGAAAAGAACUUCUUUUUUGAUCUCAACCGAAGACAAUAACUUUUUGUCCAGGCUCUGAUUAUGGUUUAAUGUCUUUUUCCUCGUUCCUGUUUUACUGUUGUGUUCUAACUUGAAGUACAAGUUAUUAGGUUCUAUUGUUAAGGGGGAACUUUUCACCCUGUUUUAGAACUUGUGCUCUGAGUUCAGUCUUUGUUUUGCUUAGAACUGCUGUAAGGUUUGGCAUCAUCAAAAAGGGGGAAAUUGUUGGGAACCCCAUGGAAUAUCAGGUUUUAUUUUGAUGAUACCAAAAUCCUUAGGUUUAAUUUGUAAUAGACUAGAACUGUUUUGAACUCAAAGUGUUAGAGUUCAUUUCUAAGUAUAGUUAGACUAAUUCUAGAAGACUAGAAGACUGAAGGACUGAAGACUGAAGAUACCAACUGAAGUAUCAGUUGAAGAAUCAGUUCAGAACUGAUUAGUUAAUGCGUGCUCCGUUGACUCAACAGACUGAUACUAAAGUCAAGUAUCAGUUAAACAUUCUUCCUCGGACUGAACUUCCUGUUGGAUUUGUAUACUGAAAGCAAGAACUUUUAUGCUUGUAUACAAUGUUUCCUAAGUUCACUAUCUAAUCUCCUAUCUGAUUGUGUUCAUGAUUGCAUAUGUAUGUUCUUUAUCUCUUAUAAGUAGUUAUAGGUUUGUAUCACAGAAGACUAUAAUUGGAAUAACCUUAAGAGAUAUAAUAUGAUCACAGCCGAAAUAACUCUAGGACAAGUUAUUGGUUUAGGCUGCAGUAUAGAUGGAAGUAGUUUGUCUUGGCUACUUGUCUAUACUGGUACGUCAUUACGUAUUGAUAGGACCACAGUUUGAGAUGUAUUCUUCUAUCUGACUUAAGUGAAGAAUCAAGAUCUCGGUAGACUUAUAAGAUCUUAAUACUAAUAAGUAUUCAGAUAUAUAUUUAAUUCGUAUAUCACUUUGACUUACUAUGGGUAAAGUUAUAUACUAACUCGAGUACUCUGUAUCUUGGGUGAUAGCGGUUAAUAUAUGAUAUUUGAUUAUCUGUAUUAGUACCCGUAUCCGGUAUAGGAUAAUGACAUCCCCUUAAGGAGCUCAAUAAGGUUUAUUCGCUAAACCCUGCAGGUUGAUUAAGUUCAGGCGAAUAAUAAGUUUGAGUGGUACUGCUUAAGGAAUUAUAAGAGAUUAAUUAAUUUAAGCUGUCAGAGCUCUAAUUAAUUAAUGGAUGUGGAUAUUUUAAAUACGGAGAUUUAAUAAGUCUAAAUACAAGCCCCGACUCAUCACCGGCAAUAAAGGGGUAAGUCAGUAUCGGUUCUCUAGUGGAAUGAACUGAUAUUUAUAAAUUAAUUAUGGUCUGGGCUGACCAUAGAUAAAUUAAUUUAUUUGAGGCCCAUCUUUAUUCCUUGUAUCUGGUCCCUGGCUGGCCCAAGUUCCUAGCCCAGAAGGAGAAAACGCCUCCACACUAAGGCCUCAUCGAUUUAUUAUAUAAAUACAGCUUCAGCUUCAGGAAAAAACUGAUAAAAUAGGGUUUUGAGAGCGGGGGCGCAGGAAAACGUGUGGGAUUCUUCUUGGGAUUUCCAUAGUCGUUGUCCAUCCAACUGAUGAGCGGGAUACAGUCGAGAAGAUCAGAGCUGGAGUCAGAUUUUCGCAGGAAACCAAGUUCUGGCAGUCUCCGUAAAACGGCCAUAACUUCCUCCACAAAAUUCCGAUUCAGACGAAUCAGGCGGCCACGGAAAGCUCUCGCGAAGACGAAAAAGUCGUAUUUCUGGGCGAAAUACGAUUUGAGGACGUUUGAGGCUUCAAACGAAGGCUUGAAGCUGACUAGUCUGUUCAGAUGCGAAUCUGCGAAUUCUUCUGAAUUCUUCAGGUAUUUCUGAGCUCCAACGUGCAGCUGUUAAAUUAUAGACAUGUUAAGAUAUGACUGAUAUUAAUGUGCCAGAACGAUCAUCGCUACAAACUAAGUAUCAGUUAAUUUCCUCGGACUGACUUCCAACGUUCAAAUGAAGCCACGUGCUUACACAGUACACGCAUUAAAUGCAGAGAUCUCAGGAUCAUCCCUCUUUGCAGAGGUCAUUCCUAUUUGGUGGCUACUUUAUCAGAGACGUCAUGUCUCCUAUCUUUUAAGAGAGUCGUUUCCACCAAAUAAAGAACCUCGGAGAUUGAAGCCUCAGCCCAAAUUCGAAAUGCUCUCCAACGGAAGAAAUCUUGAAGACGUUUUCUGCAAACAGAUCUAUUCAAGACCUCUCCAAUAAAUAGCGCUCAAGGAUCAACUUCAAUCUUCACCGAUUCAACGACCUAAGUUGAAGCUCUGCCGAAAUUGCUACUCAGCCCAAAGCUUAAUCUCCCCAAAGCUUGAAUCGAAGAAGAGAAUUCCAAAGCCAAAAUCAGUCACUGCUGAUUACGCACAUUCUCUUAGACCUUAGGCAUAUAUCUGUUUACCUAGAAGCUCAGGUCAAAACUUGCUCCAAAGAACUUGUUCUUUAAAGUCUAGUUGGCAAGUUUUUCAAACAUCCUUUCGUAAGAAAGAAACAGAGUGUUUGAGUGGAAAUGGAGUUCAGGAAGGUACUCUGACUCCGUGAGAUCCUAGUGCAAGGUCGUGCUAGGAGUGAGAAAUCCGACGCGAGUGAAGCGUGGGUACUGAAGAAAGGUCUCUUCAGUGGAACGGUUGUGUGCACACGGCAAGCACACGGUUCGGUUUGCAGUGCACCAGUUAAGCACUUGUGGAGUGGAUUGUUGGUCUGAUCAACCGACCGUGGAUAUAGGAAAGUGUUUUUCGAACCACGUAAAACUCUCUGUGUUAUUUACAGGUUUCAGUCUUUACAUUCUUAUCUGUGUUCUUACUGUUGAUAAACUGAAUACUAAAUAACUGCAAAGAGAAACCUAAGACUAACAACGUGUUCAACCGAGGCUAUUACGAAACAAGUUUAUUUCCGCUGCGUGUGAUAUCAGUCUGACUGAUCUAUCAUCUGAUAGUCAGGAAGACUUAUAUUAUCUCUGUUUUAGCAAACUCGACUGAAGCCCUUACGUGGAUCAGUUAAAUUCCAGUAACUUAACUGAUAACUCCUUACUGAAGAGUUUUCAGUAUCAGUCGUCAACUCUGUUUGGUCAAAACUGUUUUCAGUUAACAGGCGUCAUAGUUUGCGUGUAAAGUUUCAUUUUGAUCUCAUUCUUGAGAUCCCUCUGUUUUUAGAGGAGAAAGCAAAAAAUAGCCCAUAGGUGUAUUCCCCCCCCAUACACCUAUUCGAGACCCUCCGAACCUAACAAGUUCUCUUCUAUCUUUUCAUACAUCAAUAGUCGAGUACUCACUCCCGAAUAUUUUAACCUUUCGCCGAAUGUAGAAGUUGUAGUGCAACUUCUCAUUAUCGUUAUAGCCGUUGUAUCUUGGAGACAUAUGUUGUGAAACCGUGUGAGCGAACAUUUUAUCUUGCGGAGAUAGUAUGUAACACUAGUCUCGACUUUAGUUGUUUAUAUCUUUUUAUCGCAUUUUCUACACACUCCAAAUAACAAAAUGCAAGAGUUGAAGUAGGUCUUGUUUUGAUCCCGCUUUGGUGGAUCUAUCUAGUAAUUUCAUUUUAUGUUUACUUUAUAGAUUGUAUUGUGUUGGCCUAGCUAGGAAAUUUUAACCUAAUUUUGAGGAAUAACAACGCAAGUAUUGAGUACAAAUUUUCCUCAUUCUACAUUUUCUAUUGUUUCUCUUCUUUCAUUUCUCCUAUCUUAUCCAGAUGAAAUAUGUUUAAAGCUAAAUUCAUAUCGAACUUAACAAUUGGUUAUAUGAGCACUCAAUCUUAUUGGUCAGGGAAGAUGUCACAGCCCACUAUCCCUAAGGACGGAUUAACCGGGGUUAUGGCUCGGGAUGAGAAUUAAGAAGCGAGAAAGAAAGGGGAUUUAUAUGUUAUUCGAGCAUUUCAAGAGAACGACAGUCGUUCAAAGCAAACUAGAAAUAUAUAUAACUGAUUGGGUAAUUACAAUCAUUCAUAUCGAGAAGACUAGACCCAAGUGAAGUUAUUUAAAAUAGACGAGUAUCAAGCUCAAAAUAGAUAUUAUAACAUAAUUAGAGUGUUUGCAACAGAAAAACGUGUGAGUUAUAUAUAUGAAGAUGCAUACUUAAAGUUUCAUUUCUUAUCAUCAAAAGGAGAAUCCGCUCAACAACAUUCGAUUCCAUCGCCUGCUCAACCAGCACAUUUAGAAAUACAUGCAGGACUGAGUAUAAAAAUACCCAGUGGCACAUGCCAAAAUACAAACAUGCAUAUACAUAUAUAAAUUUACUGCCAAACAACACACAUGGGUUUUAUUGAAAGACAUGUGCUUACUAAAACAUUUCUUCCAUUUUCACAAGAUUGGUCGGCCGACCCAUUUUCCUUCAUAUGAUCCAUAUUUGUCCUUUUGUCACGCGGGAAGGAGGCCUCCUUCCACGGAUGUCAAGAUCGAUCGCAAGCGACUUACGGUCUCCAUAAGUGUACACGUUAACCCUUACUAGCAAACCUUUGUCUCGCAUAGGGUCCAAAUUCAAUUUUCUUUAAAGUUGGCGAACCAACACAGAUAGGAUUCAUGCAUAAAACAUAUAUAUUUUUGGCAGACAAUCAUCUUAUAAAUCAUUUCAUUUCAUAAGAACCAUUCAUCAUUUGAACAUUUCAUAAAACUGAAAUUAACAGUUAAAUCAUAUCAUGCAUUCAUUCGUAUAAGAGGCCUACGGCGCGCAGAUGAUCUCUAUAUACGUGUUUAAGAAAGUAAUGCCCACCUGGACUCCUGCUUACUCUUUCUUUAAUAAACUCUUGCUUCACCUCACUUCCUUAAGUCACUCGUGCCUUCAGAUAGCGUAUACGGUGUAGGUAGUUCAUAUAACAAAACAUCAAUCAAGCAGUAACCUUCUUACUGAUAGCACUACUCUUAUCUUAAAACUAGUCUAUCAAGUCUCAUCACUACAAUCCAACUAUCUUGAUCUCCUAUCAAUUAAACUUCCUAAGUAAUCACCAUUUCUAUUCCCAACUUAUCACCUAAUUUAGGACUAGACUUCACACAUAGAUAAGCACACAGAAUAACUAAACAAGUUUAAUAGCAUCUUAGCAAACAUAUUGAAAACUUUUUGUAAAAUCGGGAAAAAUAUUUUUAGUUGGGGAAAUUUCACAAAAUUUUAAUUUAGAAAGCCAAUGACAUAUAAUAGAACAUUCUUAAAUCAAUUUUCCUAAAAAUAAUUCACAAAAGAAAGUAAUUCCAAUUUAUACCAUUUUUAACAAACUAACCUCUAGAUUCCUUCAUCAAAAAAUUCUCAAAAAUUCACGUUAAACUCAUAUAACACAUAAUAGCACAAAUACAUGAUCAUAUAACUCAAGAAAAAUCAAAAUCGACUUCCCCUUCUAAAACAUAUAUUCGGCCAAGGUGAUGAGGACAAAAAUAUGCAUCCCUUGAAGAUCGGAAGAUUAAGGCCUAAUUCCAACUAUAACAGUGCAGUUAGCAGCCGGACAACCCUGUUUAAGCCCGGACAACCAUGUUUAAGCCUGGACAGCCCUGUUUCAGCCUGCGGUCUUCAGCCCCGUUUAUGCUCUGUAGCCCUGCAGGCCCAACGCUUGAUUUUUCGGGAUUUGGAGCUAUCUUGAAGACUAUCAAAUUCUAAAUAAGGAAGGAGAUUAUCAUGGAAGAGAAGAUAUAUAUGAAGAAUUAUAGUGUUAUCUAAGUCUAAAUAGAGUCUCUUUCUUACUAGGUUUCUUAGUAUUUUGCCUAUAAAUAGAGGCAUAUAUUUUCAUUAUUUAGGAGACACAACCGAAUUCAUCUUUGUACAAUGUAAUCUUUCCCAAAAACAUAGUAAAAACACCCAAAAACCCUGUGGAUGUAGAUCUUUACGAUCGAACCACGUAAAUCUCUGUGUUCUUAUUGCUUUGUGAUUUUUCUAGACUCAUCAACUGGCGCCGUCUGUGGGAAAUCUGAACCCGAGCUGGACGUUUGACGUGUUUUAUUUUAUCCGGUGAGAAUUCUGAACUGAGGCUAAGGCAUUGGUGUCGAUCCUCUUUUCGGUAACAAUCCAUCGUUCUCGAUUUAUUUUCCUUUAAAAAAAUAAAAAUAAAUAACAAUGUUGCGGCGUUGAAUUGAUCCGGAUUUAGUUACGUCGAAAAUGGUCGCGUUGCUUAAAUCGGUAGCUUUGAAUUGUGUGAUAAUCUUCGUUGACCUUAAACAUGCUGGAUGGCUGACUAUAUCAUCAAUGAGUGUUUGAUAGUCUAGAAUUUCGCAGUAGUGUGUUGCAUUGAUAUAUGGUACUUAUAAUAUUCAUCAAUUUUAAUUGAAUAUGUAAUACAACUACAAGGAAGCUAUUCAUAGCAGAGAGUCCGAAGACUACAACCUAGUAUUUUUUUCGACUUUCUCUAACAGAUUGAGGAGUCAUAAUUGCUGCUAUUGUUAAACUGGUGCACAUGGAAAUCACAAUUCUUAUGCACAUUCCUAAAUGCAUAUUUAGAUUUUUGGAAGUAAGCGUAUGAAAUAAGGGAGUAUUCAAUGCAAACUCUAAUCUAGAUAUCAAAUUUUUAUUUAGUGAUAAAUCAAAGUGAUCUAUUGAACCAAGAUCUAAUUGAGCACAAAAGUUUGUUGUUAGUAUAAUUUCUCAUACUUUUUAUUGCACAAAUUACUCGGUGUUAAUCUUAUAGAUGUGGAUAUUAUGGAAAAUUUGCAACAAUAAAUUAUACGAUCAAGCAUUGCUACACCCCAUAUAUUGAUUGGUGGCCCUCUAUUUAGGGGCUUUCAUAUUUUACUAAAAUUGGUGUUUGAGAAUUCUUAUAGCACAGAUAAAUAAGCAAUGCUAAAUCAAGCAUGAGAAAACAUACAUGUUCGUGGAGAAAAGCAGACGAACACGAAAGCAAAAAAGCUACCUUUUAUACCCUAAUAUUUAUUUCUUAUUAAAUCUACGUAGCUCAUGUCCAAGAACCAUUAACACCUUAGCAUAUAACCUAUGCGAUAUAUAUAUAUAUAUAUACACAAGAUCUUUGAAAGAAUUACAUGGGCAACACGAAUAAAGUUUACUAAUCAUUAUGCACGUUCUGAAUAUUAUAAAUAAAAUCGAUGUUUGAAGUCUAAUGACUAUGAAAUUUUACUAUGUAUAUAAUGUCUGGUAUAUCUCUGUAAAAUUUCACAUUGAUCGAAGUGUUUUGCUAUAUUUACCAAAUUUUACAAAUCCACUGCCCAAAGCUGUAAAGAACAUCCCGACCCACGAUUCUAAUGCCAUAAAUCGAGAUUUGAUAUCAUUACAAUUCUAAAAAUUUUCACAUAUGUCUUUCAAGGUGUCAUGGACAUCCCUGUAAAUUUUCAAGUGUUUCUAAAAAGAUUUGAUAUUUUAAAUCUAUUUUACAAAUUCAUAGCGCAAAGCUGUCAAAAUCACCCUUGUUCUAGACCCACGGUUUUAAGGCUAUAAAUUUAGCUUGGAUGCCAAUAAAAUUCUAAAUUUUUUCAUAUGUGUAAUUCAAAGCGUCCAGAACGACUCUGCAAAUUUCAAGCUUUUCUAAAACGAUAUAUUGGCUAUUUUAAAUCGAUUUUACAAAAUCAUCGCGCUGAAACUAGGAACCAUCGGACAUAGAAUAUGCAUAUCUUUUAGCUCAAGUAGAAUUUAAAAACAAGGCUUCCCAUGAGAAAACUAGACUUGUACUUAUAUCUUGCCAAGAAGUUAUGGCGCGACUCCUGUUGAAAUAUGUAACAUGCCUUAUCGAAUUGUGACUUUGCCUUUUGAGGUUUCCAGUCUUUACUAACCCCCUUACUUGAGAAUUCUCAUAAGUACAACUAAAUAAACCAAGGAAAAACAGACGGAGAAGUAGACCUGCGGAAAUAUCCAAACAAACGCGACGAAAGGGUAACCCACUAAAACUAUGGCGAUCCAAGUACGAAAGUUUUAAAUUUAUCAUCGCAUGUGAGCAUGACUGAAGAAUACUAGAUUUCAUCGUCCUAAGCAAAUCAUGAUAAUUCUUGAUUACAUAAAGAAAAUAUUAUCCUAAGAAACCACACAAAUUAUGCAUAUGUGCUGAAACACGAAUUAAAAUUGAUUUUUUUUUUCUUAUCAUGUUAUGACUAGCACAAAGUUGCAAUAUUUUUAUUUGCUCCUAAUCAUUGGUAGUAUGUUCGCAUGGAUAACUCACACACACACACACACACAUAUAUAUAUAUAUAUAUAUAUAUAUAUAUAUAUAUAUAUACACAAAUCCUACUUCGCAGAAAUAAAAAAAUCUUUGUGCCAAACAUAAACCUUGCAGGGCCGAUAAGAAGACUGCUAAAGCCUAACAACACUGCUAAGACCCGAAUUGGGUAAAAGAAUACAUAUAGACAAAUCCUACAUCGCAGAAAUAACAAAAUAUGUGUGCCAAGUACAAAUUUUGCAGGACCAACACGAAAAUUGUCCAAACCCAAAUGGGUCUGCUAAAGCUUGAAUGAGCCCUGCUCUGCGCGAAUGCGCUCAAGUAGCUCGAAUGAGCUCAAAGUAUUCUAAUACCCGAAUGGGUCCAACUAGCUCGAAUGAGUACAAAGUAUUCGAAAAUCCAUAGUACUUGACUCAACCUAAAACACUUCUAGAUUGACUUGCAAUAGAACAAGGACAUCCUAGCAUGAUAAGUUGACCCAAGUCGUCUCUCAAGGAAGACUAAGCAGGGCUUCAAUCGUGCUACUCACAGAAAGCGAAAAAUAACCUAAACACUUUAAUCGGAAGUUGGGUGGUCGGGCAAACUCUCUAUCUUUCUAGACAUAAAAUAACCAACAAGAAAGCAACGUAACUAAUUAAAAGACAUUAUAAAACUCAUGCAACCAUAAAUGAAAGAUAAACAACCAACGAUAAGAAGCUAACGGAAAAUAACUAAGGCAAUAAAAUACUAUUUCCUAGAUGGCAAUGAUCAUAACCACAAUUGCAAACUCAUAAACACGACCAACCAAAACAACUAUCUUAAUCAAAGUAAACACUUGUAAACGCAAUUAACUAGAAAAAUAAAUAAUAGAAAGGACAUCAAGCAAUUAAGGCACAAAAAUAAAUCUCAGACAUCUCUAGGAACUUCAUAAAUAAACCAAUAACAAUCCAAUUCAAGGAAAAAUCAAUCUAAAGUGUUCUUACAAUUAUUCGAACGAUAAAUCCAACGUUAUAAUCCAAAACAAAUCUACGUGAUGAACUAUGAUCCGUGGAAUCAACAAAUGUUUCAAUGAGUUUAAAGCUCUCAAAAAUUAAGGAAAAUACGUAAAAAUCGCCCUAGGAGGCUGCUGGAGUUGGAAAUGGAGAAGAAAACCCUAAAAAAUGGGUUUUAAAACCCAAAAACGUAACUUCCGGAUUCGCGCGGGUGGCAGCGCCGCCUAUGCCCUUCGCAGAAUGGGCAUGGCGAGCGUCGCCUCCUGGCAGGUGCCGGCCACUACAAUGCGCAGCGUUUUUGUUUUGGUUCGUUCUCCCUCUUUCAAGUCGGAUUUUAGAUCCGUUUUCGCCUACGAAUUUGUAUCGAGAUGAACUUCGAUUCUUCUUCAGACCAUUCAACUAAAUUCUGACUUUAUUUUUGUCCACAUAUCAAUCAAUUUGAGCAUAAAAUCGUGAGACGACAAAAUUAGCACAAAAGCUCAAAUCAAUAAACUCUUGAGUGAAAGAAACCAAAAUAAAAGCCAAUAUAAUACGUAAACACCUAGAAAUUCAUCACAAAAUAGGGCUAAACAAUCCCCCCACACUUAAUCCUUUCCUUUUCCUCAAGCAAAGUCACAACACCAAUGAUAGUUCACAAGAAAACUUCCUCACCAUUCACAUCUCCAACCAAUCUAAGUUUCUUAGCCAUUUACAUUCCUCACGAGAUGUUCCUUGUUAAGAUUUUAAGAAGCAACAACCACAUGAUACCAUUCAAUCUGAUCAGACCCGAUUCUCUGUUAGAGGUGAAUUUCCUAAUGUGAUUGCCUUUAUAAUCAAAUUCCAUUUUCAUUGAAGAUGAUAAACAAUCAAACCAAAUCUAAUUUUAUACAACUUUCUUUUUCAAGGUGAUGUUAUUUCAUUCUCAAUAGAUGGGCCAAAUUUCGUGAGAUCAACACUUUUGGAGGUAAUCCAAAAUGUUCUCACGUGGUUUCCCAUACUCAUGACACUAUCUUCAGAGGAGCAGAGACCCAGAGCUAUAGAAAACUUCACAACAAACCAACAUUCAAACUCAAGGGAUAAGAUCGUAGGCUAUCACAAUGAAAACACUCCCUCUAGUAUCUACCGGACAAAUCACGUCAAGAAUAGCUCAUACGGGUGUUGCAUCCAAAACAUUAAACAACUUACAUCAAGCGAGGAAUAUGCACAGCAUGAGAGACAAAGAUAACAACCAAGCUAACACAGUUCAUGAAAUUUAUUUGUGAACAAAUCAUCAAAGUGUGCAUUAUUACUUGAAGCCAAGCAACAAUCAAGAUAAAGGGGACCAUUUGCCCUACACAAGAAAGCCCAAAAUCACAACAAAAAGGCACCCACAAGAUCCACAAAUAUCAACAAACACCCCUCCCCCCCACACUUAAAAUCUAGCACUGUCCUCAGUGCUCGCAAAAAGAGGGGUGAAAGAGGAAAACUUCCCUGAAUACCGAUCCAAGUGGUGAGCCCGUAGCAUCCCACGAUAUCUGCCUAUCUCACAUCCAUAAAACAAACAAACCUCAACGCACCAACCUGUACCAAACAACAGAAGCAACAGAAACACAAACCCAAACAAAACGAAAACAAGAAAAAGCAAGAAAACAUGGGUUGUCUCCUAUGCAGCGCUAGUUUUUAAGUCGUCAGCUGUAACACCCCGUACUUUACCCUAUGUUGAGAAAUAGUGUCUUAACACUAAUGAGAGUACUGAGAUGUCGAAAUACGAAACUUUUUUUUUAUGAGCAGACAAGACAGAUUGUCUUUUAAAGAGAGAUACGAGUGAAUGCUUUGAAGAUCUGGAGACGCCAUUUCUAUGGAGCACGGUGUGAGAUAUACAUCGAUCAUAAAAGUCUCCAUUAUUUAUUUGAGCAAAAAGAUUCGAACAUGCGACAAAGAAGAUGGUUAGAGUUAUUGAAGGAUUACGAUUGCGAAAUAAAUUAUCACCCUGGAAAGGCUAACGUUGUAGCUGACGCGUUAAGCAGAGAGAAUCAGGGAGAGUUAGGAUUUCUCCUUACUCGAGAAGAGAACCUAAUCAAGGAAUUCAAGAAGAUGAAUUGGAAGGUAGUAAUACCACCACAAAUGACAGGAAUAAUAAUUUAUGCACUGAACGUUACGCCUGACUUACGAUCGAGAAUAGUCACAGCAUAGAGAGAAGAUGAGAAGAUAGAAAGUUUGCGAAUAAAGAUUCGAACCAAGAGAGUAGAGAAUUAUCAAGAGACGGCAGAUAAUGCCAUUUUGUUUAAAGAGAGAAUGUGUGUGCCUGAUAAAGAAGAGUCGAAGAACGAAAUCACGAGCGAAGCUCAUGACACCCCUUACACCGCACAGGCGGAAAGUAUAAAGAUGUGCCAAGACUGAAACGACGCUUUGAUAGGAGAAUAAGAAGCGAGAGAUGGCAUCUUUCGUGGAAAGAUGUUUGACGUGUUAACACGUGAAGGCGCCACUUUGGCAACCUUAUACGAUUAACCUAUUAAGAUUCCACAAUAGAAGUGGACCCAUAGCCAUGAAUUGGCAUCGAUUAGCAAAAUCGAGAGAAGAAAAUCAACAGUUAGUAAUCACUGAUAGAUUCUUUUGAGUUAGAAAGAUGUUUUGUGAGUUUCCCCUAUCUUCGGGGAGAUGUCUUUCAGUUAACGAAGAACUCAAACCGAGAUAUAUAGGACCUUAUGAUUAUUAGAGUAAGUAGGCCAUGUGCUAUAAACUAGCGUUGCCUCCGAGCUUCGCGAACGUCCAUGACGUUUUCCAUGUUUCUCAAUUGAGAAAGUACGUGUUUGAUCCAAACCACGUCAUCCAUCAAGAAGAAGUGUCCCUAGAACCAGAUUUGAGCUAUAAAGAGAGACUUGAUGCUAUGCUGGACCGGAAGAUCCAACAAUUGAGGAACAAGUCGAUUCCUUUGGUGAAAAUCCAAUGGAGACAUCACGGUCAAGAAGAAUCAACAUGGGAACUUGAAGAGAAGAUGAAAGAGA
rnacentral:lncRNA from 1 species